CUGGAAAUGAAAUAAUGUGUUUUACACUUUUUCAGGAAAAGAAAAGUGAUAUUUCUUCAAGUGGCAGUGCAUGAAGCAAGAGCCAUGAAAAAAAAUUAAGAAACGCCCAAGUCAGCUUCUGGAACCUGCAAGGAACCACCCUUCUGUGAUCCUUACCUGUGGCUGUGCACAGGUGGUGCUUUGUGAUGCCAAACACCCCAGGGCUACCAUUGGCUGGAGGAAUUUCCUGCUGACCAAUCAAAGCUAAAGGGCGUGGCUCCCCAUUGUCCCUGGAGGGUAUAUAAAGGGCUCAGGGGCCCUGGAG
rnacentral:lncRNA from 12 species